GGGACACAAACCUCAUACACUUCCUGCUUCCUCUGAGCCGUCAUGGAGGCACCGGUGGGGUUUCCUCCGUUGGGGAUGGUGUAGAGGAUUUUGGGGGCAGUGCUGCUGGGCUUAUUAACCUCUGAGGGGUCCCACCGAGACAAAACCUCCUUCAGGGCUGCGGGUAUCAUGCCGUGCUGAUCGCUGGGGACGUUGAUUAAGUUGCAACCAAGCGGCUGGAGCUACAGAGGAAAAAAGAAGUUUGGAAGGCUGAGGAUAGGAUUCUACAAAACAAGGACUCCUGUGUUAAUCUCUCACCCAUUAGAGGCAGAGUACUGCAGAGCCCUCUUCAUUGCUACAUCAUCAAAAGUGAGCGUCUGUCCGUUCUUCAACUUAAUGGAUGCUGACUGGAAGGGGAAGGUGUUGGGGUUGGGUGCUCCUCCCGCCAAAGAGAUCAGGGACGGAGGUGACCGCUGCUGCAGCUCAGCUUUAUACCGGUGGAGAAAUAGAUGAGAUGGAUAGAUAGGCAUUUGGGCUAAAAUAAGGCGACAUUUGUUGUUUGAGGCAUUUAUAUGUCCCCAUUUUACAUACAUAACAGCUGUUGUUGUUUUAGCAUUUCAGUGACUGUGUCUCGGUGUAUGGCCAGGUUAAUUAAUAAAGUGAAUGGAAAAAGUG